UAUUCAUUGGUUCUAUUUUUC
ensembl:piRNA 21ur-2027 ncRNA